rnacentral:rRNA from 1 species
CAGCAGCCGCGGGAAUACGUAGGUCCCGAGCGUUGUCCGGAUUUAUUGGGCGUAAAGCGAGCGCAGGCGGUUAGAUAAGUCUGAAGUUAAAGGCUGUGGCUUAACCAUAGUACGCUUUGGAAACUGUUUAACUUGAGUGCAAGAGGGGAGAGUGGAAUUCCAUGUGUAGCGGUGAAAUGCGUAGAUAUAUGGAGGAACACCGGUGGCGAAAGCGGCUCUCUGGCUUGUAACUGACGCUGAGGCUCGAAAGCGUGGGGAGCAAAUGGGAUUAGAUACCCGCGUAGUCCCUGUCUCUUAUACC